rnacentral:rRNA from 1 species
GAUGAACGCUGGCGGCGUGCUUAAUACAUGCAAGUCGAGCGAACAGACGAGGAGCUUGCUCCUCUGACGUUAGCGGCGGACGGGUGAGUAACACGUGGAUAACCUACCUAUAAGACUGGGAUAACUUCGGGAAACCGGAGCUAAUACCGGAUAAUAUAUUGAACCGCAUGGUUCAAUAGUGAAAGACGGUUUUGCUGUCACUUAUAGAUGGAUCCGCGCCGCAUUAGCUAGUUGGUAAGGUAACGGCUUACCAAGGCAACGAUGCGUAGCCGACCUGAGAGGGUGAUCGGCCACACUGGAACUGAGACACGGUCCAGACUCCUACGGGAGGCAGCAGUAGGGAAUCUUCCGCAAUGGGCGAAAGCUUGACGGAGCAACGCCGCGUGAGUGAUGAAGGUCUUCGGAUCGUAAAACUCUGUUAUUAGGGAAGAACAAAUGUGUAAGUAACUAUGCACGUCUUGACGGUACCUAAGCAGAAAGCCACGGCUAACUACGU